rnacentral:sRNA from 1 species
CCUCCAUGAUGCGCGGCGAGAGCAGGUGGACGUGCGUGUCGACGGAGCCGGCCGUCGCGAUCAGGCCCUCGCCGGAGACGAUCGACGUACCGGUGCCGACGACGACGUCGACGCCGUCGAGGGUGUCCGGGUUGCCGGCCCGCCCGAUGGCGUGGAUCCGGCCUUCCUUGAUGCCGAUCGACACCUUGCGGAUGCCCUGCGCCACGUCGAUGACCAGCACGUUGCUGAUCACCACGUCACAGGUGUCGCGCACGGCGGCGGCCUUGAGGUGCAGCCCGUCGCGGG